GGGAGUGGGAGGACUGCUGACAGAGUUCGACUCUGAGGAAAGUCCCCUCUCCACAGCACGAAUGGGUCACAGAAGUGAUAGACGGGAGACUGUCUGGUAUUGGAGAAGAAACGAACGAUGCAGGGGUUUGAUGAUGAUAUCGAAAGAUGGAGGCUUCCUUGUGGUCGAUGAGACGAGCAACCCCAUUGGAGCAAGUCCAAACAGUUCCGUUAACGUAGUGCGCACAGGAACAGGUAGGAUGCUUAGUUGAAUGCAGUCGCCGAAAGGUAACAGAAAGGGGCUUACUCCCCACACCC
rnacentral:RNase_P_RNA from 1 species